ensembl:snRNA U1 U1 spliceosomal RNA
CCACUUACCUGGCAGGGUAGAGACCGCGGUCACUAAGGGGGUUCUCCCAGAAUGAAGCUUCUUCGUCGCACUCUAGAGUUGCUGAUCCCUGUGAUUUCCUCAAUGUGGGAAACGGUGUUUGUGCUAGAAGAGGGCUGCCGUCUUUA